GACGAACGCUGGCGGCGUGCCUAAUACAUGCAAGUAGAACGCUGAAGCGAGGAGCUUGCUCUUCUUGGAUGAGUUGCGAACGGGUGAGUAACGCGUAGGUAACCUGCCUUGUAGCGGGGGAUAACUAUUGGAAACGAUAGCUAAUACCGCGUAACAAUGGAUGACACAUGUCAUUUAUUUGAAAGGGGCAAUUGCUCCACUACAAGAUGGACCUGCGUUGUAUUAGCUAGUAGGUGAGGUAAUGGCUCACCUAGGCGACGAUACAUAGCCGACCUGAGAGGGUGAUCGGCCACACUGGGACUGAGACACGGCCCAGACUCCUACGGGAGGCAGCAGUAGGGAAUCUUCGGCAAUGGGGGCAACCCUGACCGAGCAACGCCGCGUGAGUGAAGAAGGUUUUCGGAUCGUAAAGCUCUGUUGUAAGUCAAGAACGGGUGUGAGAGUGGAAAGUUCACACUGUGACGGUAGCUUACCAGAAAGGGACGGCUAACUACGUG
rnacentral:rRNA from 1 species